rnacentral:rRNA from 1 species
UGGGGAAUUUUGGACAAUGGGCGAAAGCCUGAUCCAGCAAUGCCGCGUGUGUGAAGAAGGCCUUCGGGUUGUAAAGCACUUUUGUCCGGAAAGAAAUCCUUGGCUCUAAUACAGUCGGGGGAUGACGGUACCGGAAGAAUAAGCACCGGCUAACUACGUGCCAGCAGCCGCGGUAAUACGUAGGGUGCAGGCGUUAAUCGGAAUUACUGGGCGUAAAGCGUGCGCAGGCGGUUUGCUAAGACCGAUGUGAAAUCCCCGGGCUCAACCUGGGAACUGCAUUGGUGACUGGCAGGCUAGAGUAUGGCAGAGGGGGGUAGAAUUCCACGUGUAGCAGUGAAAUGCGUAGAGAUGUGGAGGAAUACCGAUGGCGAAGGCAGCCCCCUGGGCCAAUACUGACGCUCAUGCACGAAAGCGUGGGGAGCAAACAGGAUUAGAUACCCUGGUAGUCCACGCCCUAAACGAUGUCAACUAGUUGUUGGGGAUUCAUUUCCUUAGUAACGUAGCUAACGCGUGAAGUUGACCGCCUGGGGAGUACGGUCGCAAGAUUAAAACUUAAAUGAAUUGACGGGGUCAUAGCUGUUUCCU